UCUCUUGUUUUCCCCGCCUAUAUACCGCCGUCGUCAGCUUACCCUAUGAAGGCUAAACAGUAAGCAAAAUUGGCACAGCCUAAAACGUCAGGUCGAGGUGUAGCGAACGAGAAGGGAAGAAAUGGGCUACAUUUACUGAACCAGUAUACACGGACAUUGUACUGAAAAAGCAUUUAAAGGAGGAUUUAGCAGUAAGGGGAGAAUAGAGCGCCCCCCUGAAAACGGCCCUGAAGCGCGUACACACCGCCCGUCACUCUCCCCGAAAACCCAAUCUUUCUUAACUAAACAACUAACCAACAAAAGGGGAGGCAAGUCGUAACAUGGUAAGUGUACCGGAAGGUGCACUUGGAAAAACC
rnacentral:rRNA from 1 species